AUUGAACGCUGGCGGAGUGCUUUACACAUGCAAGUCGAACGGCAGCACGGACUUCGGUCUGGUGGCGAGUGGCGAACGGGUGAGUAAUGUAUCGGAACGUGCCCAGUCGUGGGGGAUAACGUAGUGAAAAUUACGCUAAUACCGCAUACGAUCUAUGGAUGAAAGCGGGGGAUCGCAAGACCUCGCGCGAUUGGAGCGGCCGACAUCAGGUUAGGUAGUGGGUGGGGUAAAGGCCCACCAAGCCAACGAUCUGUAGCUGGUCUGAGAGGACGACCAGCCACACUGGAACUGAGACACGGUCCAGACGCCUACGGGAGGCAGCAGUGGGGAAUUUUGGACAAUGGGCGAAAGCCUGAUCCGGCCAUUCCGCGUGCAGGAUGAAGGCCCUCGGGUUGUAAACUGCUUUUGUACAGAACGAAAAGGUUUCUACUAAUACUAGGAGCUCAUGACGGUACUGUAAGAAUAAGCACCGGCUAACUACGUGCCAGCAGCCGCAGUAA
rnacentral:rRNA from 1 species